UUGAACGCUGGCGGCAUGCCUUACACAUGCAAGUCGAACGGCAGCACGGGGGCAACCCUGGUGGCGAGUGGCGAACGGGUGAGUAAUACAUCGGAACGUACCCUGAAGUGGGGGAUAACGUAGCGAAAGUUACGCUAAUACCGCAUAUUCUAUGAGUAGGAAAGCAGGGGAUCGCAAGACCUUGCGCUUUAGGAGCGGCCGAUGUCGGAUUAGCUAGUUGGUGAGGUAAAGGCUCACCAAGGCGACGAUCCGUAGCGGGUCUGAGAGGAUGAUCGGCCACACUGGGACUGAGACACGGCCCAGACUCCUACGGGAGGCAGCAGUGGGGAAUUUUGGACAAUGGGCGCAAGCCUGAUCCAGCCAUGCCGCGUGAGUGAAGAAGGCCUUCGGGUUGUAAAGCUCUUUCAGCAGGAGCGAAACGGUCGUUUUUAAUACAGACGGCUAAUGACGGUACCUGCAGAAGAAGCACCGGCUAACUACGU
rnacentral:rRNA from 1 species